rnacentral:rRNA from 1 species
UACGUAGGGUGCAAGCGUUGUCCGGAAUUAUUGGGCGUAAAGGGCUCGUAGGCGGUCUGUCACGUCGGGAGUGAAAACUCAGGGCUUAACCCUGAGCCUGCUUCCGAUACGGGCAGACUAGAGGUAUGCAGGGGAGAACGGAAUUCCGGGUGUAGCGGUGGAAUGCGUAGAGAUCCGGAAGAACACCAGUGGCGAAGGCGGUCUGCUGGGCAGUUGCUGACACUGAGGCGCGACAGCGUGGGGAGCAAACAGG